GGCCUUAUGGUCUAGUAGCAUGAUUCCUCGUUUGGGGAUGCAUUCCUUGACUCGAGGAGGUCCUGGGUUCAACUCCCAGUGAGGCCC